rnacentral:tRNA from 1 species
AGCCCGGUAGUGUAGUGGACAAGCAUGGCGGGCUUUGGACCCGCCGACGGGAGUUCGAAUCUCCCCCGGGCUACCA